rnacentral:SRP_RNA from 1 species
CGCUAGGUCUAACCGGGGCGGUCGGCGUGCCCUUAUACACCGAAAGCGUCGAUACGCGGGGGUGACCGCCGGGGGCGGUGUAAUCAGCCCACCGUCGAGCCAGAUCCAGACGAUGAGACCUCGUCCCUUGGGAUCGGAGGUGCAGUCGAGAACAACCGGAGGGUUGUUCCUUCUGUCUUAGCCAGGUUGACCAGGCCAGGCCCGGAAGGGAGCAGCCGAUACCUGGACUCCCGAUGCUCGAGGGAUAGCGGGGUCGAGGAUGGAUCUGGGCUUUCUCGAUGGUGAGCUGAGCACCCACCCCGGUGACCUAGCA